rnacentral:rRNA from 1 species
AUUGAACGCUGGCGGCAGGCCUAACACAUGCAAGUCGAGCGAGCGGCGGACGGGUGAGUAAUGCCUAGGAAUCUGCCUGGUAGUGGGGGAUAACGUCCGGAAACGGUAGCUAAUACCGCAUACCAUCGGAUGUGCCCAGAUGGGAUUAGCUUGUAGGUGAGGUAACGGCUCACCUAGGCGACGAUCCCUAGCUGGUCUGAGAGGAUGACCAGCCACACUGGAACUGAGACACGGUCCAGACUCCUACGGGAGGCAGCAGUGGGGAAUAUUGCACAAUGGGCGCAAGCCUGAUGCAGCCAUGCCGCGUGUAUGAAGAAGGCCUUCGGGUUGUAAAGUACUUUCAGCGGGGAGGCGUUACCCGCAGAAGAAGCACCGGCUAACUCCGUGCCAGCAGCCGCGGUAAUUC